rnacentral:rRNA from 1 species
AGUGAACGCUGGCGGUAGGCCUAACACAUGCAAGUCGAACGGCAGCACAGUAAGAGCUUGCUCUUACGGGUGGCGAGUGGCGGACGGGUGAGGAAUACAUCGGAAUCUACUUUUUCGUGGGGAUAACGUAGGGAAACUUACGCUUAUACCGCAUUCGACCUACGGGUGAAAGCAGGGGAUCCUCGGACCUUGCGCGGAUGAAUGAGCCGAUGGCGGAUUAGCUAGUUGGCGGGGUAAAGGCCCACCAAGGCGACGAUCCGUAGCUGGUCUGAGAGGAUGAUCAGCCACACUGGAACUGAGACACGGUCCAGACUCCUACGGGAGGCAGCAGUGGGGAAUAUUGGACAAUGGGCGCAAGCCUGAUCCAGCCAUACCGCGUGGGUGAAGAAGGCCUUCGGGUUGUAAAGCCCUUUUGUUGGGAAAGAAAAGCAGCAGGUUAAUACCCCGCUGUUCUGACGGUACCCAAAGAAUAAGCACCGGCUAACUUCGUG